AAAAAAUAAUUUACUCUUCAAUUAAUAGGGACUUCUAAAAUGGGACAAUGGUCACCUUGAUGUCUAAUGUAUGAGCUACAUGAAAUUUACAAACCUUGUAAAAAGUUGCAGCUAAAAUAAUAUCACACGUUCGAUGUUUGUCUUUUGUACUCUAGCUCUUGUAAGUUUCUUUCUCGACCUGCAAACCAUUGAACUGUUCUCCUUGCUGUUGGUAACCAAAGCUUCCUUAUCCUGUCUUCCUUUUCACUACUACUCCUCGGAGAUAAGGAUUCUUUGAUUUUGUUCCUCACAUUUAGCUCCUUGAACCUUGAAUAGAUUGUAAUCUCAGACAUUGAUCUCAUCUCCGCAGGAUUAAUCAUUUGCCUUGAACUUUCCUCCUGAUAUGAAGUAGAGAGUAAACAUGAAGUUGAAAAUGAAUCACUUCUGUCAGCUUUGCUAAUCUUGGACUCGUAUAAUCUCUUCCUCUCUAGGUCCUCUUUGAUCUUUUCUAUAUUUUCAUUCAUGGAGAAUCCUGUACAGCUGCUUGAAUUUGCAGGGGAGAACCUGGUGCUUGACAUGACAUUAAGCAUCUCAGAGUUCAAGAACAACAAAUCUGAGGAAUUAACAUCACUCCAUCGGUUCUUGAUAAUAACAUCAGAAACAAUGAUCUUGUGCUUGAAUUUAUGCAGAAGUUCCUGGCUAUUAUUACCUUCUUGAUUUCACAAGUAAUAAUUCUUCAUUUUUUUCCUUUGUCAUUGCUUCCAAGGUUAAAUCUUGAUGACCCAUGAUAAUCUUGCUCUCUCUGGACGAAGAGUUCAAGAUUGGGAUCCUCAGAUAGAUUGGAAGGGUUCUGUAAGUAUCUCAAACUAUUGGAAAAGCUGAAGCUCUUGAGGUCCUUUGGAUCGAACUUGUACCUGCAGAGAGGACAGCUAGAGUGACUUUCUAGCCACUGGUCUAUGCAGUUCUUAUGAAAUGCAUGCUUACAGUUGGGCAACAAUCGAAGAAUCUCGGUUUCUUCGAAUAUUGAUAAGCAAACUGCACACUCUAAGCCUUGUUUUGAGCCCUUGAGAGAAGAAAACCUGAAAAAGGGGAGCGAAUCAAUCACCGCUCUAUCAAUGCCAGAAAAUCUAGACCUUGAACUACUGAGACCAAGGAAAUUUUGGUGAUUUGUGUCAUGGACUAAGAGAUCAUCAAUUGUGUUUCUGUGACAGAAUUUUGAAUAGGCAAGUAUGAGAAAAGUUACAGAAAGCAUAAUUGAGAUAAUGCCAAUGACUGCUGCGAGGGUUGGAUGGAGUGGAUUGAGGAUACCCGAAUGAGAAUUCCAUGUGUUUUGGGCUUUGACAUGGAAGAAGAAGCAAGGAAUUAUGAGGAACACUCCCAAUUGGUUCAUAGGAGAAAACGCAAAUUUUUAUUUUCUGAAUAAAUUCUUUUGCUUCUUGUAAACAGUAUGUAUGGAACUCGGCGACAUUAAUGGAUUUUUUUAGAAAGAUUUAAACUUAUAUGGG
rnacentral:misc_RNA from 1 species